UGAGUAGGAUCAUGAAAUAGAGGGUAGAAAAGGAACUGUGUAAUUUUACUCAGAGCACCGGGCUGUCUUCUUUAUUUUUACCGAGAUCAGCAAAGCGUGCUAUGCUGGCAGGUCAAGAGUGGCCAACUCUAUUCCCACCCAGUACUGAACACCUUAAUUAGAGGAACCUACCAGAAACUUUUGGCAUCUUGAAAUUUGCUGUAGCAUGGUACGAAUUUGCAGCAUCUUAAAUGAAGAAUCUUGAGGAAGAUAAAUUUGGACACUCUUCAGUGUGAUGAUUUGGAGUAAAAACACGUGUUGGUGAAGCAAUCCUUAGAUCAGCUGAGUAACUCAUUUUCAGCCUUCUCCAAGGUUUCCACUGCAUGAAUGGAAACUAAUCAGAGAAACAAAGGUCACAAGGAAAAGUUGUAUCCUUUCAAGGAAGCUGCUGAAUUCAGAACAAAGGUGUUAAUUGGUGGCAACCCAAAGGGGAGAGGUCACAUUUGGGGCUGACUCAUAUGAUAUUGACAUUAAUUAUGAGUG